GGGCAGGGCUGACAGAGACCUGGAAAACAGUAUUUGGAAGAGGCCUAGUGGGAAAGCAGGAAAAGAGGAAAGACAAUGAAAGUAUCCUCUAGGCCUCUGUGGCUUUUUCUUUAGAUGCUUGAAAUGCAGGAAAAGGGAGUCUUCCGC